rnacentral:rRNA from 2 species
GACCCUCGGCAACGGAUAUCUCGGCUCUCGCAUCAAUGAAGAACGUAGUGAAAUGCAAUACCUGGUGUGAAUUGCAGAAUCCCGCGAACCAUCGAGUCUUUGAACGCAAGUUGCGCCCGAGGCCACUCGGCCGAGGGCACGCCUGCCUGGGCGUCA